UUCAGAUUAAGGAGGAACAUAAGGAGGCACUGUCAAUCAUUUCUAUGAUAGGAUGUAUAGUUUCUAUGAUAUGUCUUGUACUUAAUGUAGCUAUACAUGCAUUCUUCUGGAGGUUUAUUAAAUCGGUGCGGUACAUCAUUCAUAUGAACUUAUCCUGUUGGCUAAUUGUUGCUUAUAUCCUGUUUCUCGCUGGGAUAAACAGAACAGAAAACUAGGACGUUUGCACAGCAAUGGCGGUACUUCUGCACCUGGUGUUUUUGAUAGUUUUCUUCGGAAUGCUGACGGAGGGAUGUAACCUUUCAUAUACGGUUCUCAAACCAUUUAGUACCAUAAAACCUGGGAUGCCACUAAUGAUAUCGUCUUAUGUCAUCGCAGUAAUUAUUGUGGUGAUAUCUAUGGGUGCAUCACAGCUUCAGGGAUAUGGCACCGAACAGGCAUGCUGGUUAUCGACUGAAACCUGAUUGAUAUGGGCCUUUAUUGUUCCGGUUAUUGUUGUUAUACUGGUUAAUCUUAUAAUUGUUGUCUUCGUGAUCCGGACAAUGUGUGGCACUACAGCAAUGUCGAAGAAAUCAAACAAAGGACGGGCAAAGACAGCAUUACAUUGCAUAUUGGUGCUCAUGCCGUUGAUGGGUCUGACCUGGGGGUUUGGAGUACUAUCUUUGAAUAGUGACACAAUUGCUUUCCAGUACAUAUUCGCUAUUCUUAACAGUUUUCAGGGACUGCUGAUCUUCAUAUUUCACUGCGUGUUGGACAAAAAGAUAAAAGAUGCAUUUACAAAACAGAGACACAGAUGGCUUCAGUCGACGCAGAGUUUCGGAGUUUCUGAAGGAAAGAGAAGCAAAACACAAGACCCUUCCAUUUUCUGAAAACCAAGAAGAAUCAAUUCAUCGAUGGAGUAUUUUAAAAUGUGAUUUGUCGGACAUUUUGGCCAUUCAAGACUAGGCUACAUCUAAAACAGCACUUUGUAUAUUAAAGCUUCUCGUAGAUCAUAAUCAAUCGAUGAAGUACUUCAAUAUUUGUCGGACGUUUACAUAUUCACAUAUUCCAUGAAUCCAUCGAUGCAGUAUUUGAAUCACCGAUAUUUCAGACUUUGGCAUAUUCACAAAAUUCAAACCAUCGAUGUAGUAUUCAAUUACAGCUUUGUCGAGCGUUUGCAUAUUCACAACUAUUCAUGAAUACAGCUAGUGAGUCUUUCAAAUAUCAGUUCGUCUGCAUAUGCAUAGCAAUGGAUCCAUCGAUGUAGGGUUUUCUUUAAAGAAACAUCUUCAUUCUGUCGGACGUUUAUUUAUUCACAACUUUCAAUGAGUUUUUCAAACAUUGAUCUGAUCAUUGGUCGACAACAUAUUCUCAGCUCUACAUAUCUUGUGGACGUGGUUUUGCAAUUAAGCUUUUUUUGUAUUCAUUUUCUAAGUUAUGUCACAGUGAUUCUUCCUUUUUUAAAUAAAUUUAUUUGGAUUAAAUGAAACUGUGUUCUUGUAAG